rnacentral:lncRNA from 1 species
AGGUUUUUGAGUUUCUAAUGUUGAAAAGAAGAGAAAUGUUUCGAUACUUUAUUUUGUAGAAAAUAAAAAAAGAUCUUAAGCAUUGAUUAAUAGAGGGUAAAGAUGUAAUUUUAAUAUUUAGCAGGUAAAGAGUUACUUUAUUUAAGGUUAUUUUUAUAAUUAAACUAUGCAACAUUUAAAGAAAAUUUUAAUUAAUAUUCUAUAUUUACGCAUUAAUUUGGAGAAUUGAUUGAUUACCCAAAUUUAGACAUUAAUAAAGGCAUUUAUUUUAAAAAUUUUAGUGUUUCUAAAAUUUAGGCAUUAAUUUAAAUCAUAGAAAUUUUAGAAAUAGUUCAUUUCUAAAUACGUUGAAUUUAAAUAUUAAAUAUUAAAUAUUAACUAUUAAAAAUUUAAAUUUAAGUUAGAGGAAUUUUGUAUUACUAUCUAAAAAAUUUGUAAUGUUGGUAAAUAUUUUAAUUCAACAUAUUGAA